CGUAGGGAUCAGAAGGAAUACCGAUUGCGAAGGCGAUCUACUGGAACAUUAUUGACGCUGAGACGCGAAAGCGUGGGGAGCAAACAGGAUUAGAUACCCUGGUAGUCCACGCCCUAAACGAUGUACACUAGUUGUUGCGAGGCUAGACCUUGCAGUAAUGCAGUUAACACAUUAAGUGUACCGCCUGGGGAGUACGGUCGCAAGAUUAAAACUCAAAGGAAUAGACGGGGACCCGCACAAGCGGUGGAGCAUGUGGUUUAAUUCGACGAUACGCGAAGAACCUUACCUGGACUUGACAUAGUAAGAAUAUUAAAGAGAUUUGAUAGUGUCUGCUUGCAGAAACUUGCAUACAGGUGCUGCACGGCUGUCGUCAGCUCGUGUCGUGAGAUGUUGGGUUAAGUCCCGCAACGAGCGCAACCCUCGUCGUUAGUUGCUAACAGUUCGGCUGAGAACUCUAACGAGACUGCCUGGGUAACCAGGAGGAAGGUGAGGACGACGUCAAGUCAUCAUGGCCCUUACGUCCAGGGCUACACACGUGCUACAAUGGGAUAUACAAAGAGCAGCGAUACCGCGAGGUGGAGCAAAUCUCAAAAAUAUCUCCCAGUUCGGAUAGUAGUCUGCAACUCGACUACUUGAAGUUGGAAUCGCUAGUAAUCGUAGAUCAGCAAUGCUACGGUGAAUACGUUCCCGGGCCUUGUACACACCGCCC
rnacentral:rRNA from 1 species